AGCAGCCGCGGUAAUUCCAGCUCCAAUAGCGUAUAUUAAAGUUGCUGCAGUUAAAAAGCUCGUAGUUGAAUUUCGGGAUCGAUAUAUCGGUCGUGCCUCGGUACGUACUGGUAUUUUCGGUUUCUCCCUUCUGACGAACCUUGAUGUCAUUAAUUUGGUGUCUUGGGGAAUCAGGACUGUUACUUUGAAAAAAUUAGAGUGUUUAAAGCAGGCUCACGCUUGAAUACAUUAGCAUGGAAUAAUGAAAUAGGACGUUUGAUUCUAUUUUGUUGGUUUCUAGGAUCGACGUAAUGAUUAAUAGGGAUAGUUGGGGGCAUUAGUAUUCAAUUGUCAGAGGUGAAAUUCUUGGAUUUAUUGAAGACUAACUACUGCGAAAGCAUUUGCCAAGGAUGUUUUCAUUAAUCAAGAACGAAAGUUAGGGGAUCGAAGACGAUCAGAUACCGUCGUAGUCUUAACCAUAAACUAUGCCGACUAGGGAUCGGAUGAUGUAAUUUUUAAUGACUCAUUCGGCGCCUUACGG
rnacentral:rRNA from 1 species